UAAAGUAUUUAUUAUUAUUAGGCAUUCCUAAGCGAAUUUCAUUAUCAUUAAGACGUGUGAGAUUAAAACUGCACAAUAUCAAAUAUAUAUGAUCCAGUCCAGAGAUAUCGUGCUCACCGCAAGAGGCCUAUUUUUUGCGGACCUCUGCAAAAUUGGCAAUAUCAACGUUCCCGAUCAUUAUUUUUGGCAAUAAAAAAUAUGUGAAUAUAGUUUAAGGUUGUCAUAAUAUACCUGCCAAGUUUCAAAUCAAUAAACGAAAUAGUUUUCUUAGAACAAAUUCUUGAAAAAUGCCUUUUUUUCGACCUCCUAACUGUAUAUAACCCCUUAAGGAAA